CCGUUCCUCUCCCGUUUCGAGACGGACGCGCCGCCGCCGACCUCCUCCUGCCCACCCCGCUCCCGCUCCAUAUCCAGCCCCAAGCCCCCAGCUCCACUUUCCUUCUAUAUCCGCCGCCACGCCACGCCACGCACGCCACCUCGGCGAAGCCGUGUCCGCAGCUCCACUUUCCUCCGGCUGCCGCAACCGCCUCUGCCCCGGCUAUAAAGGCGCGCGCCCUUUGGCCGUCCGCUCCUCCUCUCUUCCCAGGCCAUGCCUCUCGCCUCGAUUCGUCCUCGACUCCUGCCUCUCCUCCUCCCGCGUCUGGUUUCAUCUUUGCUCCUCCUCGCUCGUCUCGUCCGUUUAGACUAGAAAGAAUUGCUCGUCCUCGAUUCGUCUGUUUUGAAGCGCGUCUGAUUUGAUUGAUUUUGCUCGUCCUCGGUUCAUCCGUUUAGAUAGAAAUCGCGUCCGGUUUCAUUUUAUCUGUUUUGAAGCGCGUCUGAUUUGAUUGAUUUUUCUCGUCCUCGGUUCAUCCGUUUAGAUAGAAAUCGCGUCCGGUUUCAUUUUGCUCGUCCUCGCCGUCGCCCGUUUAGCAUCGGUUCCGAGUUGAUUUUACUCGUCCUCGCCGUCGCCAGUUUAGAGUCGCGUGUGAUUUGAUUCUGCUCGUCCUCCCCGUCGUCCGUUUAGAAUCCCUUCCGAGCUGUUUUUGCUCGUCCUCGCCGUCGUCAGUGUGGAGUUGCGUGUGAUUUGAUUCUGCUCGUCCUCCCCGUCGUCCGUUUAGAUCAGAAUUGCGUCUGUUUUGAUUUUUCUUGUCCUCGCCGUCGUCAAUUUAGAUAGAACGUCGUCUUGAUUUGAUUUUGUUCGUUCUCGUCCUAGUCCGUUUGGAAUCGCGUCUGAUUUGAUUCUGCUUGAUCCCCUGUGUUGUUGCUGGGUUCUUUACACUGAUGCUCUCGCGUGUUCUUCGUGCCGUCUCAUCGGGGGUAUCCGUGGAGGAAGCGAGCGGUCGGUCGGUCGGUUUGGGUCGUCUGGUUUGCGAACUAACAAGUCUGUUUGAGAAUUUCUGCGUGCGCUUUUGUUAUCUGAGAGACGCUCACGUUCCUGCGUUCCGUGUUCGCGUCGGGCCCUUGUUCGCGUCUGCUUUUGAAAUUGGAUUGCUGUUUAUCGCGCUCGUUCAGAUCGGUUCCUAUGUUCGGUCACCUCCGCUGUUCGUUACUUUCAUAUCUCAAACGCAUGCGCCCUUUGAUACUACUAGUACUUGAUGGAUGUUCAGAUCUCAAAUGCCGCGUUGUUCAGAUCGGUUAUUUUGAUUGAAAUUGGAUUGUUGGCCCUCUGUUGAUUCUUAUUCUACUUGAUGGAUGUUCAGGGUGUUACUAUGUUGUUUUCAAUUGCUUACUUCUUGUCAUGCUUUGCUCAUGUUCCCAUAUAUGGUGAUGCUCAUCAUACGAGUACUAGAUGAGGUGCUGCUAGUUAGUCCCCCUUAGACUUUGUUCUAGAUAAAAGAGCAUAACUCCAGAAUUUUGUCAUUACACACCUGGGCAUAUAAUUCUGUUGUGAGCAUAACUCCAGAAUUUAUUUCUGUGUGAAAGCUUGUUCAUCACAUGUUUUUUGUCAAUGCUGCUAACUUUAUAGCUUUCUGAGAUUACUUCAGUCUUGCAUGUAUUAGCUUUCUGUUUGUGCCCCUAUCUAAGUCUGUUUCUUGUGUGCAAGCACUCCAUUCUGUGUGUGCCACUGUGUGUGGCUUGAGGUGAAUAUGUGUGGCUUGACUCUGUGUGUGUGUGUGUGUGUGUGUGUGUGUGUGUGUGGCUUGAUGGUGAAUAUGUGUGGUUUGACUGUGUGUGUGUGUGUGGCUUGAUUGUGUGUGUGGCUUGAUGGUGAAUAUGUGUGGCUUGACUGUGUGUGUGUGUGUGUGUGUGUGUGUGGCUUGAUGGUGAAUUUGUGUGUGGCUUGACUGUGUGUGUGUGACUGUGAAUAUUGCAUUUGCUUGAUGGUGUGGCUUGUAUGCUUUGUUGAAUGACUGGUUGUAUAACUUGUGUUUUAUAUUGUUGUGGCACGAUUGGUUGCUGUUUGUUGAAUGCGAACUCGUAUCUUGACGAAUAAUCAUCUAUGCUAACUUGGUAUUGGUAGUUCCUGAUCACCUAUUACUUGUUUAGUGUAGACUGACUAUUCUUUUUUCUGAACUUUUUUGUGAUUAUGUCUUCACAUUGCACUGCUCGAUCCAUAUCGACAUGCCCACGCUGUCUGAUGAGGAUAAAGAUGUUAUGAGAAAAAUAGGGUGCCCCAACCAAGAUUGACUUCCUCUCUCUUUCUUAUACAAGGCAUGCAGAAGAUGUGUGGCAAGCAUGGGAGUUCCUCUCAAAGUUAGGUGAUCUUAGCCAAACUCUGAUUUUUGCCAAAAUUGAGAAUGUGGAGGGCUUGAACCAUUUUGAUGAGAUCCUGGAAGAAGCAGAUGGUAUAAUUCUGUCAAAGAGGAAACCUUGGAAUUGAUCUUCUACCUGAAAAGGUUGGUUAUCUCAACCUUCGCAAUGCAUUAUCUCUUAACAUGUCGUCCUAGUAUUGAAAAAAUUAGAGAGAGUCACCCCAAUGCAUUGUUUCUUAAGGGUUGUAUCUAAAUGAUGUUUCAUCGUGGAGAAAAUUAAAGAGUAGGAAAACAGGGAGUGCAAGAAAACGAGCUAAGAGCCGUAUCUAUAUAAACAUACAGCUCCACUCUCGUUCUUUCUUAAUUAUUUACAGUGCCACAUCAGCAUUUUGACUAUGAUAACGUGCUAAGAGAAGCAUUGUGAGUGCCCUUGGCAGUUGUGAAGGCAUUUUGCUUGAUUAACAUGUAUUUUCCCCAUUUGCAUGAAGCUUAGUGAUGAUUUUAUGUGCUUUACUUAGAUUUGCUCUUUUUUAAAACAAAAAUCAAGGGUCUGUAUUG